rnacentral:tRNA from 1 species
GCCCGGGUGCUGAAAUUGGUAUACAGGAGGGACUUAAAAUCCCUUGUCCCUAAAGGACGUGUGGGUUCGACCCCCACCCCGGGCA